AGUUCGAGCGGUAAGGCCCUUCGGGGUACACGAGCGGCGAACGGGUGAGUAACACGUGGGUGAUCUGCCUCGCACUUCGGGAUAAGCCUGGGAAACUGGGUCUAAUACCGGAUAUGACUUCUGGUCGCAUGGCUGGGGGUGGAAAGAUUUAUCGGUGCGAGAUGGGCCCGCGGCCUAUCAGCUUGUUGGUGGGUAAUGGCCUACCAAGGCGACGACGGGUAGCCGGCCUGAGAGGGCGACCGGCCACACUGGGACUGAGACACGGCCCAGACUCCUACGGGAGGCAGCAGUGGGGAAUAUUGCACAAUGGGCGAAAGCCUGAUGCAGCGACGCCGCGUGAGGGAUGACGGCCUUCGGGUUGUAAACCUCUUUCGACAGGGACGAAGCGCAAGUGACGGUACCUGUAGAAGAAGCACCGGCCAACUACGUGCCAGCAGCCGCGGUAAUACGUAGGGUGCGAGCGUUGUCCGGAAUUACUGGGCGUAAAGAGCUUGUAGGCGGUUUGUCGCGUCGUCUGUGAAAACUCACAGCUCAACUGUGAGCUUGCAGGCGAUACGGGCAGACUUGAGUACUGCAGGGGAGACUGGAAUUCCUGGUGUAGCGGUGAAAUGCGCAGAUAUCAGGAGGAACACCGGUGGCGAAGGCGGGUCUCUGGGCAGUAACUGACGCUGAGAAGCGAAAGCGUGGGUAGCGAACAGGAUUAGAUACCCUGGUAGUCCACGCCGUAAACGGUGGGCGCUAGGUGUGGGUUUCCUUCCACGGGAUCCGUGCCGUAGCUAACGCAUUAAGCGCCCCGCCUGGGGAGUACGGCCGCAAGGCUAAAACUCAAAGGAAUUGACGGGGGCCCGCACAAGCGGCGGAGCAUGUGGAUUAAUUCGAUGCAACGCGAAGAACCUUACCUGGGUUUGACAUACACCGGAAACCUGCAGAGAUGUAGGCCCCCUUGUGGUCGGUGUACAGGUGGUGCAUGGCUGUCGUCAGCUCGUGUCGUGAGAUGUUGGGUUAAGUCCCGCAACGAGCGCAACCCUUGUCCUGUGUUGCCAGCGGAUUAUGCCGGGGACUCGCAGGAGACUGCCGGGGUCAACUCGGAGGAAGGUGGGGACGACGUCAAGUCAUCAUGCCCCUUAUGUCCAGGGCUUCACACAUGCUACAAUGGCCGGUACAGAGGGCUGCGAUACCGUGAGGUGGAGCGAAUCCCUUAAAGCCGGUCUCAGUUCGGAUCGGGGUCUGCAACUCGACCCCGUGAAGUUGGAGUCGCUAGUAAUCGCAGAUCAGCACGCUGCGGUGAAUACGUUCCCGGGCCUUGUACACACCGCCCGUCACGUCAUGAAAGUCGGUAACACCCGAAGCCGGUGGCCUAACCCCUUGUGGGAGGGAGCCGUCGAAGGUGGGAUCGGCGAUUGGGACGAAGUCGUAACAUUAGAAGUUUGU
rnacentral:rRNA from 1 species